rnacentral:rRNA from 1 species
AUUGAACGCUGGCGGCAGGCUUAACACAUGCAAGUCGAGCGGGGUGAUGGUGCUUGCACUAUCACUUAGCGGCGGACGGGUGAGUAAUGCUUAGGAAUCUGCCUAUUAGUUGGGGACAACACCUCGAAAGGGAUGCUAAUACCGCAUAAGUCCUACGGGAGAAAGCAGGGGAUCACUUGUGACCUUGCGCUAAUAGAUGAGCCUAAGUCGUAUUAGCUAGGUGGUGGGGGAAAGGCCUAACAAGGGGACGAUCUGUAGCGGGUCUGAGGGGAUGGUCCGCCACACUGGGACUGAGAAACGGCCCAGACUCCUACGUGAGGCAGCAGUGGGGAAUAUUGGACAAUGGGGGGAACCCUGAUCCAGCCAUGCCGCGUGUGUGAAGAAGGCCUUAUGGUUGUAAAGCACUUUAAGCGAGGAGGAGGCUCUUUUGGUUAAUACCCAAGAUGAGUGGACGUUACUCGCAGAAUAAGCACCGGCUAACUCUGUGCCAGCAGCCGCCGUAA